ACUAUGCUUGGCCCUAAACCUCAGUAGUUAAACAACAAAACUACUCGCCAGAACACUACAAGCAACAGCUUAAAACUCAAAGGACUUGACGGUGCUUUACAUCCCCCUAGAGGAGCCUGUUCCAUAAUCGAUAAACCCCGAUCCACCUCACCCUCUCUUGCUUAGCCUAUAUACCGCCAUCUUCAGCAAACCCUGAUAAAGGUUACAAAGUGAGCACAAACGCCCUGCCGCCGCAAAAACGUUAGGUCAAGGUGUAGCCCAUGAGAGGGUAAAAAUGGGCUACAUUUUCUACAUCAGAAAACCCCACGAAAACUCUUAUGAAACCUGAGAGUCCAAGGAGGAUUUAGCAGUAAAUUAAGAAUAGAGUGCUUAAUUGAACCAGGCCAUAAAGCGCGUACACACCGCCCGUCACUCCCCUCAAAUAUAUUUAAGGAACAUCUUAACUAAACGCCCUAAUAUUUAUAUAGAGGGGAUAAGUCGUAACAUGGUAAGUGUACUGGAAGGUGCACUUGGACAAAC
rnacentral:rRNA from 1 species